rnacentral:ncRNA from 2 species
AAUCAAAUAGGCGAUGGAGUUCGCCCUAACCGUCCGUGCGACUAAUGACUCCUACCAGCGA